UACAGAGGUCCCGAGCGUUGUUCGGAUUCACUGGGCGUAAAGGGUGCGUAGGUGGCUUUGAAAGUUUGAUGUGAAAUCUCCGGGCUUAACCCGGAAAAUGCAUUGAAUACUCCAGAGCUGGAGGGUUGGAGGGGGGACUGGAAUUCUCGGUGUAGCAGUGAAAUGCGUAGAUAUCGAGAGGAACACCAGUGGCGAAGGCGAGUCCCUGGACAACACCUGACGCUGAGGAGCGAAAGCGUGGGGAGCGAACAGG
rnacentral:rRNA from 1 species